GACGAACGCUGGCGGCGUGCUUAACACAUGCAAGUCGAACGGAAAGGCCCUGCUUUUGUGGGGUGCUCGAUUGGCGAACGGGUGAGUAACACGUGAGUAACCUGCCCUUGACUUUGGGAUAACUUCAGGAAACUGGGGCUAAUACCGGAUAGGAGCUCCUGCUGCAUGGUGGGGGUUGGAAAGUUUCGGCUGUUGGGGAUGGACUCGCGGCUUAUCAGCUUGUUGGUGGGGUAGUGGCUUACCAAGGCUUUGACGGGUAGCCGGCCUGAGAGGGUGACCGGCCACAUUGGGACUGAGAUACGGCCCAGACUCCUACGGGAGGCAGCAGUGGGGAAUAUUGCACAAUGGGCGGAAGCCUGAUGCAGCAACGCCGCGUGCGGGAUGACGGCCUUCGGGUUGUAAACCGAUUUCGCCUGUGACGAAGCGUGAGUGACGGUAAUGGGUAAAGAAGCACCGGCUAACUACGUG
rnacentral:rRNA from 1 species